UCCAUAGUUGUCUCCCUCAGCAGUUGGCAAAACGACAAAAUUUUCAACACGUCAAAUCAUCUUCACAGCGUGAUAGAUGGAGAAAUACGUGAAAACCACAAAACCACCCCAUAAACGCUCCAUCUUCCCAAAAUGUGCCUCACUAUUCUUCACUUCAGCAAACGACAACAAACGUCGCUAGAUGGAAAGCAAAUUAACGCGUCUUCUUCCUUCUCAUCUGCCCACUCGUAAGAUUUUCAACAGCGGUGGUAGCAUGCGGAUUGGUCCUUCUAGCAUGAGAUCGAUCCACCUCGCCCCCAUGGACGAUUGAAUCGAACAAAACAAUCUAUCCCCUUUCCCUUUCGGUCUGAGUUGAUUUUUAAGAAAAAAGGAUACUCAUCCAAAAUGGGAAAGAGUUUUGAAAUUCGAAUUGGUAAUGGGCCUUUUCCCAGCCGAAAUUUGAUCUGUUUCCCCCAAAUCCGAGCCCUAAUCUCUUGGUAUAUGUAAUCCUUUUCUUUUACUGUGGGAAGGGAAAAGCGAUAUCAAAAAAUUUUGGAACCUUUAUUUUUUGGGAAAAUAAAUCUUUUAGGAAGAAUAGCUUAUGAAGGUAGUCUUGAAAAAAAAGAUAUAUAUUCGAAAAGGAAUAGGGAGACUCUUGUUUGCUGCUUCGUGAUUGUGUGGUGAAGCUCGUUGGUGUCUUUCAAAGCUCAUUUUUUGGCUCGUUGUCUCAGUAUUCUGCACUCGAAAAGGUAAACCCUUCUAUUCUAAUAAUAUUUAUCUUUUUCAUAUUUUGUCUUUGAGGUGAGACUCUUAUGUUGCGUGUUUAGUGUCGGUCGUGAAUUUUGUGUGAGGGUAUUCUAUUCUUCCUAUUAGAGUAAUCUUUCUUUAGUUUUCAUUUUCCUUUGAAUCUUGACAGGGAAUGAGGGGUCUUAUGCUAGUGAAGUUACUAUUUUGUACAUUAUGAAUUUUUCUACUCGAAAUCUCUGAUUUGUUUUGAUUCUUUGAGAUCAGUUGAGUUCUGUCCCUUUUGCUAAAAAAUAGUUUGGAGCUACACGUGGUUUAGUUUCGAAGCAUGUUAAUUGUGAUGUUCUAUUUCUCUUUUCUCUUGUUUAUCAUUUUCUAUUUUUCCUAUUUGUUUUCGUAGACUUCUAGCUCUUCAAAGGGUGUCUUGCUUCAGUCAUUCGAGUGUUUUUUCUCCUCGAGUUCAAAUGAAGAAGUAUGAUCAUCAUUUACCACGCAUCGUGCUCUCCCUUUAUUUUCUUUAUUUUUUAUGUGGUCACUUAUUAUUCAUUUUUCCUAAUGAAAGUUGAUCUCAAGGUGAUUGUUCUCUUUUUGGAUCUAAUUGUCUUCAUACAUGCAUGUAGCUGGGAAUUUCCUCAUGUCUUUUGAUGGCCUAAUCUAAAAUUUGUCAAUUUUUGUCACCUAUUUUUUUCCUUAGUCAUUAAAUAAGGAGGCCAACUUUCCUUUCGCUAGCAGUGGAUCAUUUUUUUACCUUAAAGAUCAUCAAAAGUGAAUAUAGCCAUAGUUUAGAAUUUCAUUCUUUAAAAGCAUAGUUCCGGAUUUGCUCAUAUAUGUUUCCCUUCCUUCCUUUAUUUAUUUUAUGAUUCUUUUCUAAUAUCGCUUGGUUUGGUUUUGAUAUGGCCGCUUAAUAGAAUCUAUAAAUCACAAUUGCUAGUGUAGUUUUCUUUCAUUUCGUAUUCAUUUUUGAUUUGGUGCAUUUCCUCAUAUCUUUGGUUUCGUUGUGUUGUCCUGUGAUGUUAAUCCUAUUUGCUCUCCAAAGUACCCAGAUAUUUGUCAAACAUUUUAUUUUAUUUUUUUAUUUAUUUGAAAGUUUUUUCUAGUAUGUUAUUUGUUAGUCAAAAUAUGAUAAGCCCCCUUUAUUCCAUUUAGUUUAUAAUUAUUCUUCACGUAGAGCACAUGUUUCCCACAGUAAUGGAAUAGGCCUCUUUCCAUUUAUGUGUCAUGGCUUCUUUCUUUAAAUUUUGGAUCAAAAUGUGGCUUGGCCAUGAGGUCAUUAUUGUUUCGGUUUAGAUAAGGUCAUUGAGAUUGCGUUUAAGGUUGGAAAGUUGGUCAUGUGGUACUCUUCAUUCAAAGAGCAUGUCAAGUACAUUUGUGCAUAUUGUGCAAUUCCAAUAAGCCGUUUAUUUAUUCAUCAAUGCCAUUUACUUUUAUUUAUUUUAUUUUAUUUUUAUUUUUUUAGUCGUCUUCUGAUUGAUUUAUAGUUCAUUGAGGUCUUAUUCAAUUAUCCUACAAAAAUCUAAUCAUUAUUACUAUUUUGUUUACAUGUAAAAUCCGCCUGAGUUCGCUGAGAACUCAUUUUCCCUUUGCAUUUCGGAUAGACCAUAAAGUCCUAAAUACAUUUUGUUUUAUCUCGAGUCGGCCAAUUAAAAGGCGAUGAACAAGAUUUGGAGUUGAAAUGGGAAUUUCCGAAUAGGUACAAAUCGAAUGGACCUAAGGCCCCCAAAACAAUAAUGGGUCGAAAUACUACUUCAGGUGGACAGAAAUUGGAUUUGGACCCAAUUCUCUCUCCCUCCCUCUUUUACUCUAUUUUUUAUUAUUUUGUUGUAAUUUGUCGUUAGUCUUAGGGUUAGAAAACUCGACCCCCCCCUUCAAGACCGCGCUAUGAUUUAAUUGUUUAAACUUAA